rnacentral:misc_RNA from 1 species
AAUGUGAAGAGGAUAAAGGAGUAUCGGCAGAGAGUUGAAGAUGAGCUCUCAAAGAUCUGCAAUGACAUAUUAUCAGUAAUUGAUCAACAUCUUCUACCCUCCUCCACCACAGGGGAAUCCACUGUUUUUUACUAUAAAAUGAAAGGAGACUAUUAUCGCUAUUUAGCUGAGUUUAAAGCUGAUGAUGAUCGUAAAGAAGCUGCGGAUCAGUCCCUCAAGGCUUAUGAGGCUGCCACCUCUACUGCAAGCUCAGACCUGCCCCCUACUCAUCCAAUCAGACUUGGCCUGGCUCUUAACUUUUCUGUUUUCUACUAUGAGAUUUUGAACUCCUCUGAAAGGGC